rnacentral:rRNA from 1 species
UACGGAGGGUGCAAGCGUUAUCCGGAUUUACUGGGUUUAAAGGGUGCGCAGGCGGAUAUGUAAGUCAGUGGUGAAAUCUCUGGGCUUAACCCGGAAAUUGCCAUUGAUACUAUAUAUCUUGAAUGCUGUGGAGGUAAGCGGAAUAUGUCAUGUAGCGGAUGAAAUGCUUAGAGAUGACAUAGAACACCUAAUUGCGAAGGCAGCUUACUACGCAGAGAUUGACGCUCAUGCACGAAAGCGUGGGGAUCAAACAGGA